CCAUUAGAUAGUAGGCGGGGUAACGGCCCACCUAGUCUUCGAUGGAUAGGGGUUCUGAGAGGAAGGUCCCCCACAUUGGAACUGAGACACGGUCCAAACUCCUACGGGAGGCAGCAGUGAGGAAUAUUGGUCAAUGGGCGAGAGCCUGAACCAGCCAAGUAGCGUGAAGGAUGACUGCCCUAUGGGUUGUAAACUUCUUUUAUAAAGGAAUAAAGUCGGGUAUGGAUACCCGUUUGCAUGUACUUUAUGAAUAAGGAUCGGCUAACUCCGUGCCAGCAGCCGCGGUAAUACGGAGGAUCCGAGCGUUAUCCGGAUUUAUUGGGUUUAAAGGGAGCGUAGAUGGAUGUUUAAGUCAGUUGUGAAAGUUUGCGGCUCAACCGUAAAAUUGCAGUUGAUACUGGAUAUCUUGAGUGCAGUUGAGGCAGGCGGAAUUCGUGGUGUAGCGGUGAAAUGCUUAGAUAUCACGAAGACUCCGAUUGCGAAGGCAGCCUGCUAAGCUGCAACUG
rnacentral:rRNA from 1 species